rnacentral:lncRNA from 1 species
GAUCGGACCGGGGUCUGACCGAGAUCUCACCGGGAUCUCACCGGGAUCUCACUGGGAUCUGACCGAGAUCUCACCGGGAUAACGCCGGGAAAUCACCGGGAACAGGAUCAGACCGGGAUCCAGGACGGACGGGACCCCGGGGUCUGACCGGGAUACCGGGAUCGGGUCACCGGCAUCAGGAGCUGACCGGGAUAACCCCGGGAUAACGCCGGGAUAACACCGGGAUAACGCCGGGAUAACACCGGGAUAACGCCGGGAUAACCCCGGGAUAACACCGGGAUAACACCGGGAUAACACCGGGAUCACACCGGGAUAACACCGGGAUAACACCGGGAUAACACCGGCAACAGGAUCGGACCAGGAACGGGACACCGGGAAUGGGACCUGACCGGGAUCCAGAACGGAACCGGGACACCGGGAACGGGAUCCAACCGGGAUCCAACCGGGAACGGACUGGGAUUGGGACAGCGGGAACGGAACGGGAUCAGCAAUGGAACGGGAUUGGGAUUGGGAACGGGAUUGGGAUGGGAUUGGGACACCGGGAACAGACUGGGAUUGGGAUUGGGAAUGGGAAUGGGAUUGGGAUGGGAUUGGGACACCGGGAAUGGCCAUUGGGGACCGGGACAUUGGGAUCAGAACGGGACCGGGACACCGGGAAUGGGACGGGAUUGGGAUGCUGGGAAUGGACUGGGAACGGGAAUGGAACGGGAAUGGGAACGGGAACGGGAACAGGGCAGGAACGGGAAUGGGAAUGGACCGGGAUUGGAUCGGGAUUGGGAUUGGAUUGGGAUCAGGAACAGGAACGGGAACGGGAUUGGAUUGGGAUUGGGAUUGGGAACAGGGCAGGAAUGGGAUUGGGAACGGACCGGGAUUGGAUUGGGAUUGGGAGCAGGAAUGGCCCAGGAAUGGGAAUGGGAACAGACUGGGAUCCCGGGAAUGGGAUUGGGAUCAGGAAUGGGAUCCCGGGAAUGGAGCAGGAACGGGAUUGGGAACGGGAUCAGGAACGGGAUCAAAGCGGGGUCCCAGGAUUGGGAUCGGGAGCAGGAUCAGACCGGGAUUGGGAACAGGAUUGGGCCAGGAUUGGGACUGGGAUCAGACCGGGAUCCUAGGAAUGGAUUGGGAUUGGGAACAGAGCGGGAAUGGGAAUGGACCAGGAUUGGGAUUGGGAUCGGGAUCAGGAACGGGAUUGGGAUUGGGAACAGGAUCAGACUGAGAUUGGGAGCAGGAUUGGGAUCACGAACAGACCAGGAUUGGGAUCAGACUGGGAUUGGGAUCAGGAAUGGACCAGGAUUGGGAUUGGGAUUGGGAUCAGGAACGGGAUUGGGAUUGGGAACAGGGCGGGAAUGGGAAUGGGAAUGGACCGGGAUUGGGAUUGGGAUCAGGAACAGACCAGGACUGGGAUCAGACCGGGAUUGGGAAUGGGAAUGGGAUCAGACCGGGAUCCUAGGAAUGGAUUGGGAUUGGGAACAGAGCGGGAAUGGGAAUGGGAAUGGACCAGGAAUGGAUUGGGAUUGGGAGCAGGAAUGGGAUUGGUAUUGGAAUUGGGAUCAGACCAGGAUUGGGAAUGGGAUUGGGAUUGGGAUUGGGAUCAGGAUUGGGAUUUGGAUUGGAUUGGGAUUGGGAGCAGGAAUGGGAACAGGAACAGGAUUGGGAUCAGACCGGGAUUGGGGAUGGGAAGGGGAAUGGGAAUGGACCAGGAAUGGGAUUGGGAUUGGGAUUGGGAUUGGGAUCGGGAUUGGGAUCGGCAAUGGGAUCACACCGGGAUUGGGAUCGGGAAAUUUGGGAAUGUGGGAUCGGCCCCGGGAUGGGAAAAGACCCCAAAUCCAUCGGGAUCGGGAUGGGAAAAAUCCCAAAGUCCCAAAAUCUCAAUUUUCCUCAAAAAACCCCGGUUUGAGUCCCCAAAAUCUCAUUUGAAAUCCCAAAUUCCCAUUUUUAAAUCCCAAAAUCCCUUUUUUUUUUUGGCCCCCACCCCAAUUCCCAUUUUUA